rnacentral:rRNA from 1 species
UACAGAGGUCUCAAGCGUUGUUCGGAUUCAUUGGGCGUAAAGGGUGCGUAGGCGGCGCGGUAAGUCGGGUGUGAAAUCUUGGAGCUUAACUCCGAAACUGCAUUCGAUACUGCCGUGCUUGAGGACUGGAGAGGAGACUGGAAUUUACGGUGUAGCGGUGAAAUGCGUAGAUAUCGUAAGGAAGACCAGUGGCGAAGGCGACUCUUUGGUCUGUAACUGACGCUGAGGCGCGAAAGCGUGGGGAGCAAACAGG